UGACGUAAAACGUGUGUG
rnacentral:miRNA from 1 species